AGGACAAACGCUGGCGGCGUGCCUAAGACAUGCAAGUCGGACGGGAGGCUUCGGCCUCUAGUGGCGGACGGGUGAGGAGCGCGUGGAGAACCUGCCCCGGGGUGGGGGAUACCCGCCAGAAAUGGCGGUUAAGACCGCAUACGAAUGCACCGUGCAGGCGGUGUAGGGAAAGCAGUGAUGUGCCCUGGGAGGGCUCCGCGUCGGAUUAGCUGGUUGGUGGGGUAACGGCCUACCAAGGCGACGAUCCGUAGCUGGUCUGAGAGGACGGCCAGCCACACUGGGACUGAGACACGGCCCAGACUCCUACGGGAGGCAGCAGUUAGGGAAUUUUGACAAUGGGCGCAAGCCUGAUCGAGUGACGCCGCGUGCGGGAUGACGCCUUUCGGGGUGUAAACCGCUUUUCCCAGGGACGAGGAGGGACGGUACCUGGGGAAGAAGUCUCGGCUAACUACGUGCCAGCAGCCGC
rnacentral:rRNA from 1 species